rnacentral:rRNA from 1 species
UACGAAGGGGGCUAGCGUUGCUCGGAAUCACUGGGCGUAAAGGGUGCGUAGGCGGGUCUUUAAGUCAGGGGUGAAAUCCUGGAGCUCAACUCCAGAACUGCCUUUGAUACUGAAGAUCUUGAGUUCGGGAGAGGUGAGUGGAACUGCGAGUGUAGAGGUGAAAUUCGUAGAUAUUCGCAAGAACACCAGUGGCGAAGGCGGCACUCUGGGCUGGAACUGACGCUGAGGAGCGAAAGCGUGGGUAGCAAACAGG